AGCGAACGCUGGCGGCAGGCCUAACACAUGCAAGUCGAACGAACUCUUCGGAGUUAGUGGCGGACGGGUGAGUAACACGUGGGAACGUGCCUUUUGGUUCGGAAUAACUCAGGGAAACUUGUGCUAAUACCGAAUGCGCCCUUCGGGGGAAAGAUUUAUCGCCAUUAGAGCGGCCCGCGUCUGAUUAGCUAGUUGGUGAGGUAACGGCUCACCAAGGCGACGAUCAGUAGCUGGUCUGAGAGGAUGACCAGCCACACUGGGACUGAGACGCGGCCCAGACUCCUACGGGAGGCAGCAGUGGGGAAUCUUGCGCAAUGGGCGAAAGCCUGACGCAGCCAUGCCGCGUGAAUGAUGAAGGUCUUAGGAUUGUAAAAUUCUUUCACCGGGGACGAUAAUGACGGUACCCGGAGAAGAAGCCCCGGCUAACUUCGUG
rnacentral:rRNA from 1 species